CGUUGUGUGGAGAGGACCAGGCAGGGGCGUGCCAAGAUGGCCGACACUCGUAAGACGAACUAUUGAGCAAUGUCGAACCAACGGGAAAGGAAAAGAGGCCAAGAGAGCACCGGACGGAAGCUAAAUCGACAUGCUAGCAAUGUUACUCUCAAGGCUGGCAACGCUGUAAUUGACAAUUGUCACGAUUAUACUUCCACUUCUCUCCCUCUCACCACUGCGGAAGACUUCAUGGAUGAAUUUCCACCGCUGCCUAUCACUACCAGUAAGUCGCCAGCACCAAAGAAAAUGAUGUACGCUGUCGGAUCUGAGCAAACCAACGCCAACGACAUCAUAGCUAGCCUCUCAGCUCUGAUAAACACGCGGUCAGACAACAUGACAAGCAUGGUCAGUGCAAAUGCACUUAAAAUUUAAGGACUUAAAAAGACAAUUGACUUUGUGUGUUCAGAGAUUAAGGAUGUAAAGAGCAAAGUGUGUACACUCGAGAAAAAAAUGGCAAAAGAAGAAAAACGAGUGGACACAUGUCAGUAAAGGGUCUCGGAGUUAGAAAGAUACUCCAGGAGAUGGAACCUUAGACUUUAAGGAGUUGAAGAAUCAGAAAAGGAAAACAUACGAAAGAAGGCCAUCGAGGUCUGUCAGGCUGUUCUGCCGGAGGAGAAGAACAGGUUGGCUGACACUAUCGACACCGUACAUCGGCUGGGCACCAAGCUGCAGAAUGACAACAAACCCAGAGGCAUCAUCAUCCAGUUCAUCGCACGUGUCUGCAGAGACGCCGUAUGGAAAGCUGCCAAGACGUCACCACACCUGCGCGACCACGGAUUAAGAUUUGCGGAGGAUCUUAAUAAGGAAGACAGAGAUCGAGGGAGCAAAAUAUGGCCAGGGAUUUAAAAAAAAGUUCGAGAGGAGGGCAAACCAGCCUUCUUCAUUGGAGGUCGCGGAUUUAUCAACGGGUCAGAAGUCCCCCUGCCCACCUAAGAAACAGACUCGCCUGCUGCCUGAUAACACAAGGACACCUUCUGGUUUGAUUUGCAGUACAUUCAGAGUUGAUAUUGCAAUGUUAUAUUUUCUGUUGUACUCUAACUAAAACGUUACAAAGGUACUUUAACUUACAAAAUCGCUGCCAUUUCUAUUAUAUGAUCUGCUUUUUAAGGGCAUUUAAUAACCAAGAGGGCUGUUUAGGAGCCCUGUGCUUGUUAUUUGGCCAGGACUAUUUCCUUUCCCCUUUACCGUUAUUUUUCUUAUAUAAAGCAGUACUCGGUCCCCUUAUCUAGUGAUACACUCCUAACUAAAUGGUUAUUGAUCACUUUGUCUUUAUCUAUUGUUUCUUUAAAUGCCAUGGGUCUAAGACAGAUUUGUAAAAGGCAAGCCUUAUUUUUAUUUGCCAAACAACUUCAUACGGAUUUUUGUUUUUUUCAAGAAAGUCAUAACACAUCUGCUGAUGUCAAUUUUUGGAAAUCUCAAUGGGGUAAUGAUAUUUGGUUCUCUCAGGGCUCAGAGAGAUCUGCUGGAGUAACCACACUUAAAAAUGCUUUCACUGGUGAUGUCUUACACUCAGACUGUGACUCCCUAGGACACUACAUAUGUCUUAUAAUUAGAAUUGACAAUAUUUCUAUCAUAGUUAUUAAUCUUUACAGUUAUAAUAACAAACUUGAGAAUGAUAAGUUGCUUGAUUCAAUAGAGGAAAGAAUUACAUUUUGGCUCACCAGAUACCCAAACUCUCUUCUUUUAAUUGGUGGAGACUUUAAUAUUGCUCUAGAUAUUGCUAUUGACAGGUGGCCUCCUGGGCGCCCCUCCUCCCUCAGUUCAAACCUUUAAAUACUUAUGGGAAGAUUUAUACAUUAUGGAUGUAUGGAGAGAAAAAAUUCCUGAUGAAAGAUCCUUCAUUUGGAGCAACAGGUCAGGAUCCAGCCAGUCUCGCAAUGAUUUUUGGCUGUUAUCCAACAACAUUGACAAAGAAAAAAAUACCGUAAAUAUCCUUGCCACACCACUCACUGACCAUAGUGCAAUUCAUUUAAGCAGCCAAUUUAGUGCAUCUAAUACAAUCCAUAGAUCUUGCUACUGGAAAUUAAACAAUUCCUUGUUAAAGCAUGAAAAGGUUGACUGAAAUUAUUAAAUUAAUUACAUUUUUUUUUUUUUUUAUACAACAAGGCUAAAAAGGAAAAAUCCUACAACACUAACUGGGAACUACUUAAGUUUGAGUCAGGAAAAUAUGGAACCUCUAUUGCCAAAGCUAAAAGAGCAGAAGAAGAUGAAGUCAUGAGUAAAAUUUCCUCAUUUUAUCAUAGACCCCCCGAAGAAGUUUCAGAAGAGGAUAAUCUACUUCUUUUACAUCUCCAAAACAAAUUAGACGAGUUAUAUCAACAAAAAGCAGAGGGCGCCUUUGUAUGGUCUAGGAAGAGGUGGCUGGAGGAGGGGGAGCAAAAUUCUGCUUACUUUUUCCAUCUUGAAAGAUACCGAUCCAAAAUCAACUCCAUCUAUAAUCUAAAUCUUAAUGGGGUCAUUACUGAUGACACUAAAUUAAUUUCAGAUUUUUGUUCAAAAUUUUAUAGCAAUUUAUACAGCUCAAAAUAUAAUAAAGAAGUUACGUCUCAAUUUCUAAACUCAGUAAAUAACGUAAGAUAGAUUCAUGUGGCAGACAAAGACUAUUGUGACACCCCUCUUACAAUGGCUGAGGUCACUGAUUCGAUUGCUUUACUCAGAAACAAUAAAUCCUCCGGCACUGACGGUUUAACUGCAGAAUUUUACAAAGCGUUCUCAGAUCACUUAGCCCCAUUUUUACUACAGGUUUUUAUGGAGAGUAUAGAGAAUGAUGCCCUUCCUCCUAGCCUCACUCAAGGGCUGGUCACAUUGAUUCCCAAACCUAGAAAAGACGUGCUUUUUAUUGAUAGAAGGAGACAAAUGGGUCUCCAUCUAACAAUGAUUACAAAAUUAUGGCGUCAAUAUUUGCCAGGAGAAUUAAAGAAACUCUUGACACAAUUAUAGAUGAGACACAGUCAGGCUUUAUGAGGAAUAGGCACAUCUCUAACAAUAUUAGACUAGUAUUAGAUAUUCUUGACUACUCUGACUUGAUAUCUGAAGAUGGCUUCAUCCUCUUCUUAGAUUUCUAUAAGGCUUUUGAUACAAUAGAACACCAUUUUAUUUUUCUGUCCUUAGAAAAAUUUGGUUUUGGGGAUUUUCUGUAAAGCAAUUUAAAACCAUAUAUGUUAAUGGAAAUAGCUCUAUCAAACUGAAACAUGGAACUUCCCCUAGAUUUAAUCUGAAACGGGGCAUUCGUCAGGGAUGCCCGAUUUCCCCUUAUCUGUUCUUACUCUGCACACACAUUCUUACAACUCAUGUCGGUCAGAGUGCUAUACAAGGAAUUUCUAUUGCGGGCAGGGAUAUUAUCAUCAGUCAGCUUGCUGAUGAUACCACAAUCUUUUUAAAAAAUGCAAGCCAGAUACCUGUCGAAAUUCAAGUAAUUAACCAGUUUUCAGAGGCCUCUGGUCUAUGCCUAAAUAUUAAUAAAUGUGAACUGUUGCCUUUAAAAGAUUGUAAUAUACAAACUAUUUGCAACAUUCCAAUCAAGGAAGAAGUUACGUACUUCGGUAUUAUUAUCUCUAAAGAUCAGAAAGUGAGAUGUCCAUUAAAUUUCUCUCCAAUCAUUAAAAAAACUCAGAACAAACUGAACCAGUGGUUGCAAAGGGACUUAUCUCUAAAAGGCAGAGUGUUACUUACUAAGGCUGAAGGGAUAUCCCAGCUUACAUACGCAGCUCUCUCUUGACACCUGAACAGCAAAACUUGUAAAGAUAUUGAUAGAAUGCUUUUUGUAUUCAUCUGAAAAAAUUCCAAAUGUUACAGUUUACUGGAACCGAUUUGUAAAUGACAUUGAUUGGAAAAAGGUUUGGAUGAUUCCUCACAGAUACUUGAUAGUAAACAAGGUGAAAGAAGUGUCGUUCAGAAUAAUUCAGAUAUUAACCUGCUAAUCAUUACCCUGCUAAUCAUUAUGGUUAAAUUUAAAAGAGACAUCAAUACAAACUGUUCUUUUUGUGAGAACCACCCAGAAACUGUUUUGCACCUCUUUUGGUAUUGCUCACACACCAGAACAUUUUGGCAAAACCUCAGCAAAUUCAUCAUUGACCGUAUUUAUAAAGACUUUGCCUUACUGUGGAAGAAUGUUGUAUUUUGCUUUUGUAGAAGUCAAAAUAAAUAAAAGUUGUACUUCAUUAUAAAUUUAUUAAUUCUUUUGGCAAAAUUUCACAUUCAUAAAUGCAAAUUCAGCGCUAAAAGAACUAAUGUUAUACUUUUUUCCCAUGAAGUUGUCCCUUAUAUUAAUCUGAUUUCUGGCUCCAACAACAGAAAGGCAGUUAAAACUGUCAACAUAUGGUCCUCUUUCUCUUUGUAAUGACCUAUUGGCUUCCCCUGGCAAAACUGUAUUGUAUUCUGUCUGUUAUAUGUUUGUAUAUUGUUAUAAAUAUUUUCGUAAGUCA